GUGCACCAGGCGCGAAACCUUCGCAAUGCGGGAAACCGCGACGAGGGGACUCCCAGUGCCUACGCUCAGCGUAGGCUGUUCCCGAGCCUAGAAAGCUCGGGGAGUAAGGGCUGGGUAAGACGGGUGCCAGCCGCCGCGGUAAUACCCGCAGCCCGAGUGGUGGCCACUAUUAUUGGGCCUAAAGCGUCCGUAGCCGGCCCGGUAAAUGCCUGGGUAAAUCGUGAGGCCUAACCUCACGAAUUCCGGGUAGACUGCCGGGCUAGGGACCGGAGGAGGGAGAGGGGUACUCCAGGGGUAGGGGUGAAAUCCUGUAAUCCCUGGAGGACCACCGGUGGCGAAGGCGCUCUCCUAGGACGGGUCCGACGGUGAGGGACGAAAGCCAGGGGAGCGAACCGGAUUAGAUACCCG
rnacentral:rRNA from 1 species